UACAGAGGGUGCGAGCGUUAAUCGGAAUUACUGGGCGUAAAGCGCACGUAGGCGGACCAGCAAGUUGGGGGUGAAAUCCCGGGGCUCAACCCCGGAACUGCCUUCAAAACUGCGGGUCUGGAGGUCGAGAGAGGUGAGUGGAAUUCCGAGUGUAGAGGUGAAAUUCGUAGAUAUUCGGAGGAACACCAGUGGCGAAGGCGGCUCACUGGCUCGAUACUGACGCUGAGGUGCGAAAGCGUGGGGAGCAAACAGG
rnacentral:rRNA from 1 species